rnacentral:misc_RNA from 1 species
GAUGAAGAACGUAGCGAAAUGCGAUACGUAAUGUGAAUUGCAGAAUUCAGUGAAUCAUCGAAUCUUUGAACGCAUAUUGCGCUCUCUGGUAUUCCGGAGAGCAUGCUUGUUUGAGUAUCAGUAAACACCUCAACUCCCUUUUCUUUUUUGAAAUUGGAGCUGGACUUGAGUGAUCCCAACGCUUUCUUCCAAGAAAGUGGCGGGUUGCUUGAAAUGCAGGUGCAGCUGAACUUUUCUCUGAGCUAUAAGCAUAUCUAUUUAGUCUGCCUAAAAAACAGAUUAUUACCUUUGCUGCAGCUAACAUCAAGGAGACUAGUUCUUGUGCUGACUGAUGCAGGAUACACAGAGACAGCUUCGGCUCACUUUGUAAACUCGAUCUCAAAUCAAGUAAGCCUACCCGCUGAACUUAAGCAUAUCAAUAAGCGGAGGA